CUGGGUUUUAAAACAUUCCCCUUUUCCUUUCCAAGAGGCGGUUGGCUCCGCCCCUGUUGCUAUGGUAACCCGUUCUAGCAUUCUAAGAUGGCUACCUUCCUCCAUACAUAUUGUCAACUGAAAUACUCACCAUUUUAAACUUGGAUAACUUUUGUGUUAGAGCUGUUGCUCCUUUUCAUUUUGUCUGGUACUGCCAAAUUGAGCUUUGUACAGGGGAACCUUAAUAAUACUAUAUGCUAUUUGGACAUAUUUUCUAUGAUUAUCAUCCUCUUGGUGGUCUCUCCUCUUGCGUUGCCCGUGCAGCUGCAGUCGGUGGCCUACGUGAAGCUGCACAGCCUGCUCCAGACGGCCUCUGUGCCCAAGAGGGAGGAGGCCUGCUACCUGCUGGGCAAGCUGGAGACCCCCCUCCGGCGCUCGCUGCACAGCAAGUCGGAGACCUUCUCCUGGCUGGUGCCGGUGGUGCGCACCCUGAUGGACCUGUGCUACGACACCCUGCAGCUGCAGCACGUCCUGCCCUCGCUGCCCCCCACCAACGGCAGCCCCACCUUCUACGAGGACUUCCAGGCCUUUUGCGCCACCCCCGAGUGGACCGCCUUCGUCGAGAGGCACGUGCAGCCCACCAUGGCCCAGUUCGAGAUGGACACCUUUGCCAAGAGCCACGACCACAUGUCCAACUUCUGGAACUCCUGCUACGACGCCCUGAUGAGCAGCUCCCAGCGGAGGGAGAAGGAGAAGGCCGAGAGCCGGAGGAAGUUCCAGGAGCUCGUUUCUGGAGCCGGUGAUGAAGCGGGCCAAGUACGAGAACAUGCGUCACACCAACAUGCUGAAGCAGGUCAACAACCACCACAACACGGUCCUGAAGCAGUGGAAGGCACUGCGCCGCUUGCUCACCUCCCAGCGCUCGGCCUGGGCCCAUCGGAAUCCCCCCGAGAUGCACUGGAAGCUGUCGAGUGCGGAGACCUACUCU
rnacentral:lncRNA from 11 species